ensembl:snRNA U6 U6 spliceosomal RNA
GUGCUUUCUGCUGCAGCAUAUACACCAAAAUUGGACAAAGAGAUACUAGCAUGACUCCUGCCCAAGGAUGACACACAAAUUCAUUAUGUAUUCCACGUUUUA